rnacentral:sRNA from 1 species
UAUGACAUUAGAACUAUCGCAGUUGAAA